rnacentral:lncRNA from 1 species
CCCAAGCUCGGAAAUUAAACUUCAUCACUUAUUCUUAAGUUUUAUAACAUGCUGAACAUUUUUCCCUUCUAUGGAAAUAUCAAAUUCCCACUCCAACACAUACUUUUGAAUAUUAAUUAUUUUUACCGAUUAUGUCUAUUUACCCAUUUUCGCUUAAAAUUGCUUAGCAAAAGUUGUUUAACAUAAUCUCUGGCUUCAUAUUCCACCAUAAAACAGUAAAAUAAACACAUUUCACCUAUGGAUAUUUUUCCAAAUAUGAACCCUAACAUGAAUUAAUGGUAGAAUAAGCUAAACCAAGUUACCGGGACUCCAAAAAUACGAAGAAC